AUCACUGGUUCCCACUGAAGCCAAGCGACAGAAGCCAAGUCAUUUCAGGACUAUUUACUUUCCUCAUGUCUGAGUUAUUUAUUGCACUUGUACCAGUCUGGUUGAGUAUCCCAGUGGUCAGCCUAACCUCUCCCUUCCAAUCCCUCCAUGGAUCCUUUGAAGAUUCAAGCUCCAAAAAUGAUUAUAGACCAACACUGGCUGUCCUACUCAGAGACUGAAGACUGUCCGAUGCAGUAGAGGAGCUUGUUGGUGUCUCUGGCCAAACUUCACAAACAGCCCAACAACCUGAAGACAAUCUGUUAGUGAGUGGACAUCUCUCUGGUGGAGUCAGAGA